GACGAACCGAGCGAACGUUGUUCGGAAUCACUGGGCUUAAAGCGUGUGUAGGCGGACUUGUAAGUACCUUGUGAAAUCCCACGGCUCAACCGUGGAACUGCUUGGUAUACUGCUUGUCUUGAGCCACUUAGGGGCUACCGGAACAAAUGGUGGAGCGGUGAAAUGCGUAGAUAUCAUUUGGAACGCCAAUGGUGAAAACAGGUAGCUGGGAGUGUGCUGACGCUGAGACACGAAAGCCAGGGGAGCGAACGGG
rnacentral:rRNA from 1 species